rnacentral:rRNA from 1 species
UACGUAGGGACCAAGCGUUGUUCGGAUUUACUGGGCGUAAAGGGCGCGUAGGCGGCGUGUUAAGUCAGCUGUGAAAUCUCCAAGCUUAACUUGGAACGGUCAGCUGAUACUGAUGUGCUAGAGUACAGAAGGGGCAAUCGGAAUUCUUGGUGUAGCGGUGAAAUGCGUAGAUAUCAAGAGGAACACCUGAGGUGAAGACGGGUUGCUGGGCUGAUACUGACGCUGAGGCGCGAAAGCUAGGGUAGCAAACGGG